UACGUAGGGUGCAAGCGUUGUCCGGAAUUAUUGGGCGUAAAGAGCUCGUAGGCGGUUCGUCGCGUCGGCUGUGAAAACCCGGAGCUCAACUCCGGGCCUGCAGUCGAUACGGGCGGACUAGAGUUCGGCAGGGGAGACUGGAAUUCCUGGUGUAGCGGUGGAAUGCGCAGAUAUCAGGAGGAACACCGGUGGCGAAGGCGGGUCUCUGGGCCGUUACUGACGCUGAGGAGCGAAAGCGUGGGGAGCGAACAGG
rnacentral:rRNA from 1 species